rnacentral:rRNA from 1 species
AUUGAACGCUGGCGGCAGGCCUAACACAUGCAAGUCGAGCGGAUGAAGGGAGCUUGCUCCUGGAUUCAGCGGCGGACGGGUGAGUAAUGCCUAGGAAUCUGCCUGGUAGUGGGGGAUAACGUCCGGAAACGGGCGCUAAUACCGCAUACGUCCUGAGGGAGAAAGUGGGGGAUCUUCGGACCUCACGCUAUCAGAUGAGCCCAGGUCGGAUUAGCUAGUUGGUGGGGUAAAGGCCUACCAAGGCGACGAUCCGUAACUGGUCUGAGAGGAUGAUCAGUCACACUGGAACUGAGACACGGUCCAGACUCCUACGGGAGGCAGCAGCGGGGAAUAUUGGACAAUGGGCGAAAGCCUGAUCCAGCCAUGCCGCGUGUGUGAAGAAGGUCUUCGGAUUGUAAAGCACUUUAAGUUGGGAGGAAGGGCAGUAAGUUAAUACCUUGCUGUUUUGACGUUACCAACAGAAUAAGCACCGGCUAACUUCGUG